rnacentral:rRNA from 1 species
AUUGAACGCUGGCGGCAGGCCUAACACAUGCAAGUCGAGCGGAUGAAGGGAGCUUGCUCCUGGAUUCAGCGGCGGACUGGUGAGUAAUGCCUAGGAAUCUGCCUGGUAGUGGUUGAUAACGGCCGGAAACGGGCGCUAAUACCGCAUACGUCCUGAGGGAGAAAGUGGGGGAUCUUCGGACCUCACGCUAUCAGAUGAUCCUAGGUCGGAUUAGCUAGUUGGUGGGGUAAAGGCCUACCAAGGCGACGAUCCGUAACUGGUCUGAGAGGAUGAUCAGUCACACUGGAACUGAGACACGGUCCAGACUCCCACGGGAGGCAGCAGUGGGGAAUAUUGGACAAUGGGCGAAAGCCUGAUCCAGCCAUGCCGCGUGUGUGAAGAAGGUCUUCGGAUUGUAAAGCCCUUUAAGUUGGGAGGAAGGGCAGUAAGUUAAUACCUUGCUGUUUUGACGUUACCAACAGAAUAAGCACCGGCUAACUUCGUG